GGUUUGGCGGACAUGGCUCUUCCUCCCGGUGGCAGAACUGGUGGUCGGCUUCCUCCCGAGUCUGAAGAACAGGAAAACAAACAUCCAGUCCCAGGGCUACAACCCAUCAGCUUUCAAAAGGAUUUUGGAGAGAUCUCCUAGCAUCAUGUACAGACAAGAACCAGGAUGAAAUUGGUAACAUUUCAAACAAUGUAAGAUGUUUUAAAGGGCAUACAGCCUUAGAGGCUAUGGCAAGCCUUCAAAUCACCAAACUCUGGUCUUCAGUGACUGAGAGAAAAGGAAACUC